rnacentral:rRNA from 1 species
GCAUAUCAAUAAGCGGAGGAAAAGAAACUAACAAGGAUUCCCCUAGUAACGGCGAGUGAAGAGGGAAGAGCCCAAGAUUGAAAGCUGGCGUCUUCGGCGUCCGCAUUGUAAUCUCAAGAAGUGUUUUCCGCUUCGGACCAUGCCUAAGUCCCUUGGAAAAGGGCAUCAUAGAGGGUGAUAAUCCCGUACAUGGCAUGGAGCGCCCGAAGCUUUGUGAUACGCUUUCUAAGAGUCGAGUUGUUUGGGAAUGCAGCUCAAAAUGGGUGGUAAAUGCCAUCUAAGGCUAAAUAUUGGGGAGAGACCGAUAGCGAACAAGUACAGUGAUGGAAAGAUGAAAAGAACUUUGAAAAGAGAGUUAAACAGUACGUGAAAUUGCCAAAAGGGAAGGGUAGGAGGUCAGAGAUGCAGCCUGGGAUUCAGCCUUGCUUUUUGCUUGGUGUUUUUCCCAGGUGGCAGGCCAACGUCGGUUUUGGGCACUGGAGAAGGGUGGGAGGAAUGUGGCACCUCUCGGGGUGUGUUAUAGCCUCCUACUGGAUACAGCGACCGAGACCGAGGACAGCAGCGUACUCGCAAGAGCGGGCCUUCGGGCACCUUUACGCUUAGGGCGUUGGCAUAAUGGCCCUCUACCACCCGUCUUGAAACACGGACC